rnacentral:rRNA from 1 species
UGCCAGCAGCCGCGGUAAUACGUAGGUGGCGAGCGUUAUCCGGAAUGAUUGGGCGUAAAGGGUGCGUAGGCGGCGCGUUAAGUCUGGAGUCAAAUACGUCGGCUCAACCGACGUCCGCUCUGGAAACUGGCGCGCUAGAGUGCAGAAGAGGGCGGUGGAACUCCAUGUGUAGCGGUAAAAUGCGUAGAUAUAUGGAAGAACACCAGUGGCGAAGGCGGCCGCCUGGUCUGCAACUGACGCUCAGGCACGAAAGCGUGGGGAGCAAAUGGGAUUAGAUA